rnacentral:RNase_P_RNA from 1 species
GGGCAAGGUGCAGGAUAACGUCCUGUCGGGGCAACUCGAAGGAAAGUGCCACAGAAACAUACAGCCCCAACCGAAAGGUAUGAGGAUCUCGGGGGCCCCGCCGCAAGCGGGGGGCGCGUAGGUGCGAAGCACCGGAGUGCCUGUCAAACCACUCGGGGUCCCCAAAAACUCGUAGAGUUUUUGGGGCAAUGGUGAAAUCGUGAGGUAAGAGCUCACGGAGCUUCGCGGCGACGCGGGCUCGGGUAAACCCCACCUGAAGCAAGACCGCUCGAACGAGGGAUCGCAUCCCCGGACGGCCCGUCCGAACGAGCUACGUUGCAUCGAGGUCCGCGGUGACGCGGGCCCCAGAGAGAUGAUCGCCACGGCCGCAAGGCCGUACAGAAUCCGGCUUACAGGCGUACUUCGCAC